ACGGAGGAUGCAAGCGUUAUCCGGAUUCAUUGGGUUUAAAGGGUGCGUAGGCGGCUUUUUAAGUCAGUGGUGAAAUCUUGCCGCUUAACGGUAAAAUUGCCAUUGAUACUGAGAAGCUUGAGUACAUUUGAGGUAAGCGGAAUGUGUAGUGUAGCGGUGAAAUGCUUAGAUAUUACACAGAACACCAAUUGCGAAGGCAGCUUACUAAACUGUUACUGACGCUGAUGCACGAAAGCGUGGGGAGCGAACAGGAUUAGAUACCCUGGUAGUCCACGCCGUAAACGAUGUUCACUCGCUGUUUGCGAUACACAGCAAGCGGCCAAGCGAAAGCAUUAAGUGAACCACCUGGGGAGUACGAUCGCAAGGUUG
rnacentral:rRNA from 1 species